ensembl:snRNA U2 U2 spliceosomal RNA
AUCGCUUCUCGGCCUUUUGGCUAAGAUCAAGUGUAGUAUCUAUUUUAUGUUCCAGCAGACUCAGUGUUUCUGUUUCUAUAUCUAGAUCUUUGAUCCAUUUUGAUUUGAUUUUAAUACAAAGUAAGAGUUAUGAGUCUAGAUUCAUUCUACCAUGGUGGAUAACCAGUUUUCCCAGCACCAUUU